CGUGCAGGCGGUUUGUUAAGUUGGGUGUGAAAGCUCCUGGCUCAACUGGGAGAGGUCGCCCAAGACUGGCAGACUCGAGAGCAGUAGGGGAAGGUGGAAUUCCGGGUGUAGUGGUGAAAUGCGUAGAUAUCCGGAGGAACACCAGUGGCGAAGGCGGCCUUCUAGGCUGCAUCUGACGCUCAGACGCGAAAGCUAGGGUAGCAAACG
rnacentral:rRNA from 1 species